rnacentral:rRNA from 1 species
GAGUGGCGAACGGGUGAGUAACACGUGGGUGAUCUGCCCUGCACUUCGGGAUAAGCCUGGGAAACUGGGUCUAAUGCCGGAUAGGAGCCAUUUUUAGUGUGAUGGUUGGAAAGUUUUUUCGGUGUAGGAUGAGCUCGCGGCCUAUCAGCUUGUUGGUGGGGUAAUGGCCUACCAAGGCGGCGACGGGUAGCCGGCCUGAGAGGGUGGACGGCCACAUUGGGACUGAGAUACGGCCCAGACUCCUACGGGAGGCAGCAGUGGGGAAUAUUGCACAAUGGGCGCAAGCCUGAUGCAGCGACGCCGCGUGGGGGAUGACGGCCUUCGGGUUGUAAACUCCUUUCGCUAGGGACGAAGCUUUUUGUGACGGUACCUAGAUAAGAAGCACCGGCUAACUACGUGCCAGCAGCCGCGGUAAUACGUAGGGUGCGAGCGUUGUCCGGAAUUACUGGGCGUAAAGGGCUCGUAGGUGGUUUGUCGCGUCGUCUGUGAAAUUCCGGGGCUUAACUCCGGGCGUGCAGGCGAUACGGGCAUAACUUGAGUACUGUAGGGGUAACUGGAAUUCCUGGUGUAGCGGUGAAAUGCGCAGAUAUCAGGAGGAACACCGAUGGCGAAGGCAGGUUACUGGGCAGUUACUGACGCUGAGGAGCGAAAGCAUGGGUAGCGAACAGGAUUAGAUACCCUGGUAGUCCAUGCCGUAAACGGUGGGCGCUAGGUGUGAGGGUCUUUUCACG